GUAGGGAAUCUUCCACAAUGGACGAAAGUCUGAUGGAGCAACGCCGCGUGAGUGAAGAAGGGUUUCGGCUCGUAAAACUCUGUUGUUAAAGAAGAACAUAUCUGAGAGUAACUGUUCAGGUAUUGACGGUAUUUAACCAGAAAGCCACGGCUAACUACGUACCAG
rnacentral:rRNA from 1 species